AGGGCUAUCGCCAAGCGGUAAGGCACAGCACUUUGACUGCUGUAUUCGUUGGUUCGAAUCCAACUAGCUCUGCUA
rnacentral:tRNA from 1 species